rnacentral:rRNA from 1 species
GACGAACGCUGGCGGCGUGCCUAAUACAUGCAAGUUGAGCGCUGAAGGUUGGUACUUGUACCGACUGGAUGAGCGGCGGACGGGUGAGUAACGCGUGGGGAAUCUGCCUUUGAGCGGGGGACAACAUUUGGAAACGAAUGCUAAUACCGCAUAAGAACUUUAAACACAAGGUUUAAGGUUGAAAGAUGCAAUUGCAUCACUCAAAGAUGAUUCCGCGUUGUAUUAGCUAGUUGGUGAGGUAAAGGCUCACCAAGGGGAUGAUACAUAGCCUAGCUGAGAGGGUGAUCGGCCAAAAUGGGAAUGGGAAACGGGUCAAAACUCUAAGGGAGGGAGCCGGAGGGAAUCUUCGGAAAUGGAGGAAAGGCUGACCGAGGAAAGGCGGGUGAGUGAAGAAGGUUGUUGGGUCGUAAAAGUACGUUGGUAGAGGAGAAAGUUGGGGAGAGUGGAAAGCUCAUCAAGUGACGGUAACUACAGAGAAAGGGACGGCUAACUACGUG